CCACGUGAGUCAGCUUCUUAAAGGAGACGGCUGGGUGGUUGUAAUUGCGGCAGCUGGGAGACUUGGCAUUAGCCGCGUCACCGAGGUGGUGGCGGAGGCCUAGCUUCCUGGGGCCCAAGGAAGCCCGGUGAUGACAGAUGAAAACAGCACGCUGGAUUUCAAGACAAGGCAGGGGAAGCUCCAUCCCUUACCAUUUGAGACCCAGAAGCAGAGGCUCCGUCUUCUUCCCACCAGAAUUUUUUUUUUUAGAAAAAAAUUUAUUGUCUUUUUAAAAAAUAAAGUUACAUAGAUCACACAAA
rnacentral:lncRNA from 1 species